GUAAACCUCUUUUCUCAAGGAAGAUAAUGACGGUACUUGAGGAAUCAGCAUCGGCUAACUCCGUGCCAGCAGCCGCGGUAAUACGGAGGAUGCAAGCGUUAUCCGGAAUGAUUGGGCGUAAAGCGUCCGCAGGUGGUUUUGUAAGUCUGCUGUCAAAGCGUCAUGCUUAACAUGAUACAGGCAGUGGAAACUAC
rnacentral:rRNA from 1 species